rnacentral:tRNA from 1 species
UUUUAAUAGCUUAUUUAGAGCAUGAUAUUGAAGAUAUCAAGGAGAUUUUAAAUCUUAAAAUAU